rnacentral:pre_miRNA from 1 species
UUGGAUGAAACUCAUGUGAAUCUCACGCUUUGAAAAUGACUCUCACAUGAAAUGGUAAAACCCACAUGAGUUUCACCCAA